UACAAUAUAUGAUCAGUAAAAACUAUACCUAAGUACAUAAAAACAGUUAACAUAAAAACAUAAAAUAUACACAAAAAUAUACAAAUUGUUAAAAAGAUGCCUGCAAGUAUUCCUCUAACGAAUAGAAAGUGUUUACCAGAAGUAAGUCCUUAACUGUUCUCUUAAAUACAUAAAUAUCUGACUCUUUAACAUAAUUAGGUAAUUUAUUAUACAAACGAACGCAUGUUGGGUAAGGACCCUUGCCCACAACGGUCAAGUGGCGAACAGGGGUCACCAAAUCAUUUCUGUAACGAAACUUGUAGCCACUCAUUAAGGAAACAUAAUUUCUGCAAAUAAAAUUGCAUCUAUGUGUCUUUACAUAAACAACACAACUGAAAAUAUACAGCUAAAUUACAGUUAAAAUAUUUAUUUAAUUGUUUAAAAACUGUUCUACAGGAAUCCAAGCGCUUUCUAAACGUCAUUUUACGAAUAAUUUUUUUUUAAGAACAAGCACCUCAUUAAUUUGCGAGCAAUUUCCCCAACACACCAAACAAUAUUGCAAAAUUGACUGUACAUGAGGAAAAUAGUAAAGUUUUAAGAUAUCUAGGGAGACAAAAUUCCUAAGUUGCCAUAGAACAUAACAGUGCACAGACAAUCUUCCCACUACAUAAUCAACGUGAGAGCUCCAAGACAAAUUAGAAUCCAGUAGAAGACAGUUUGCUUUUUGUAC
rnacentral:lncRNA from 1 species